rnacentral:rRNA from 1 species
UACAGAGGGUGCAAGCGUUGUUCGGAAUUACUGGGCGUAAAGCGCGCGUAGGCGGACCUGCAAGUCGGGGUGAAAGCCCGAGGCUCAACCUCGGAACUGCCUUCGAUACUGCGGGUCUCGAGUCCGGGAGAGUGAGUGGAAUUCCUAGUGUAGAGGUGAAAUUCGUAGAUAUUAGGAAGAACACCAGUGGCGAAGGCGGCUCACGUGGCCCGGUA